UGAGUUUGAAUCGAAUCUUCCUGGCUAAGAGCCAGAUUCUGACUACAUCCGUCAGCUAUGAUUAUUGGGUUCCCCAGCCCAUAGCAAAUUGAACAUGGGUUGGGGCUGCUAAGGGCAGCUACUCCGAGGACAAUAGAAGAGAAGCCACGAGUUAGAGUUAGACUGCUGGAAAACCUAUGUGAGAGAUAAAGGAACUCCAGCAAAUAUACUUAUUGGGAAUAUUUGGCAUAAAACCAGAGUCCUACACACUCUGUUUCUGUGACCUCAUCCUCCCAAAGGUUUUGCUCUAUUCUGAUGGGUGCCAUCUCCAUACUUCCAGCCUGGAUGUCCCAAACUUCAGGACACCAUGUGGAGUAAUCUGGACUUUUUCCUAUCAGCAUCCUCUAGGUUAUUUGGAUGAAAUGCUUAUUUCUUUUUUAACAUAAGCAUUGACUGGAAAUAUUGGUUAUUCUGUCUGAUAUUACAUGAAGGUCAGAUGCCCUCCAUGCAACCAUGAGGUCGGAUGGCAGUUUGAUGCUGAACCAGCAAACAAGCCUACUCAGCAUGAAACUAUGAGUAUAAAAACCUUUAUGAUGACCUACCUCCACUUGGAUCAAUGAAGAGGCUCUAUCUGGAAGGCUUAUCCCUGUUCCAUGUUGCAUCACGUGGAGAAGUUCCCUAAGUGUUGGAGGAUUCACUUCAGGAUGACUCACUCACAUCUGGAGCAAGAAGACAACUUAAUUAAGAGACAGCAUUUAAUGACAAGGAAAGAAAAUGUUCCUUAUCUUGUAAAUUCCUUCGCUAAUGGAAUCUUCCAGCCCACCCUGGGAAGAAGAGUUGUGGACAUAGACACAUACAGAGAGAAGACCAUGUGAAGUCACAGGGAGAAGACAGCCACCUACAUACCAAGGAGAGAGGCUGUACAAGAAACCAACCCUGAUGACACCUUGAUCUUGGACUUCCAGCUUCCAGAUUUACAGGAAAAUAAAUUUCCGUUGUUUAAGCCACACAGUCUAUGGCAUUUUGUUAUGGCAGUUCUAGCAAACUAAUAUACAGCCUAUAUCAUAUACUACUCAGUUUGACUACUUUUAUUUUGGAACAUAUUAUACUUUUGCUACUUUUGCUUAUGCAGUUUCUUUUGCUUAGUGUCCCUUGCUAGUAGAUAUUUAUAUUUAAAGAUAUUUUAGGCCUGGCACAGUGGCUCACACCUGUAAUUCCAACACUUUGGCAGGCUGAGGUGAGUAAAUCACUUGAGGCCAGGAGUUUGAGAUCAGCCUGGCUAACAUGGCGAAACCCCUUCUCUACUAAAAAAUACAAAAGUUAGCUGG
rnacentral:lncRNA from 10 species